UUUUUUAGCAUUAUUACGUCUCCAAUAUAUAGGACAGACAUUUCAAAACUGGAACCCUUACGAUUUAAUUUUGUAUUUUUUUGUGUGCCAUUUAUCACCAAUGUUAUUCAAUGCGUUUCUAUGGGCUUUAGUAGUAAAGGUUAAUUCAAUAUUUUUGAUACCUGAAGGGGUCCUAAAAUACAAAAUCAAAUGGCUAAAUGAUCCAUGGUACGACCAUCCACCAAAACAAUUCCAUAUUGCUUUGUAGAACUAGCGUUAGUGCAAUGACUUUAAGUCUAUUAGUAUCUACUACCAUGCUAGCAGAUACCAUGGACUUCCAGUCAUUGCACUAAUGCUAUUUAACAUUGGCUCACAAAACUCCCUCAAACUUCCUUCAUACUGGACGCAGAGACAUAAAAAUGGCAUCCACGAGUUCAUCUGACUCUGGGGAAGUAGAUAAAGGGGCUCAUUGCCAAAAUCCCAAAGUAUCCCUUUAAGCAGUCUCACAAAGUAAGGCAUAGGGCUGUUGUAUCUGUCAAGAUUAAUAUGAUGGCAGGGAUUGCAAAAUGAUUGAUUAAUACCAAUCAUAAUAUCUCAUUCUGCCAGGUAGGCCUACUUUGCAGUCAACAUUUCAAUUUGAUAUUUAUUUAUUUUUGCUAAUCCCUUUUGAAAUGUACAUUCAAACAUGACAUGAUUGAAUUGCGCAUUGCAAAGAUUCAACCAAGACUUUGGACCAACCUUUUUGAAUACCUGGUGCGCAUACCCAUUGACGGCUCUCAAGGAACUACAAUGGACUUAAUGAGGCAAAUCUGUGGAAAACGCUACUGAAUUUUAAUCAACACAUCAACUGCGCUACUAGCUCAUCAAGAAUUCUUGACCAUUGCUACUCCCCCUUCCAGGAUGGCUACAAGGCCCUCCACUGCCCUCCCUUCAACAAAUCAGAUCACGCCUCCAUUCUGCUCCUCCCUUACUAUAGGCAGAAACUUAAACGGGAAGUACCUGUGGUAAGGACUGUUCAAAGUUAGUCUGACCAAUCAGAAUCUAUACUCGAUUGUUUUGAUUGCGCGUACUGCAAUAUGUUCCAGGUUGCCUUAGAAUAACAUUGACGUAUACACUGGCUCUGACUGAGUUCAUCGAGGAUGUUCCCACUGACGAUUACAACUUAUCCGAACCAAAAAACGUGGAUAGAUGGCACAAUUUGCGCAAAACUGAAAGCGUGAACCACCACAUUUAUCCACAGCAAGGUGACUGUGAACAUGGACGAGUACAGUCAGCUGUGCCCUCCGUAAGGCAAACAGGCAAAAUAUCAGUACAGAGACAAUUAAACGGCUCAGACAUGAGACGUACAGUUGAAGUCGUAAGUUUACAUACACCUUAGCCAAUUACAUUUAAACUCAGUUUUUCACAAUUCCUGACAUUUAAUCCAAGUAAAAAUUCCCUGUUUUAGGUCAGUUAGGAUCACCACUUUAUUUUAAGAAGGUGAAAUGUCAGAAUAAUAGUAGAGAAUUAUUUAUUUCAGCUUUUAUUUCUUUCAUCACAUUCCCAGUAGGUCAGAAGUUUACAUACAUACACUCAAUUAGUAUUUGGUAGCAUUGCCUUUAAAUUGUUUAACUUGGGUCAAACAAUUUUGGGUAGCCUUCCACAAGCCUCCCAGAAUAAGUUGGGUGUUUUUUGACCCAUUCCUCCUGACAGAGCUGGUGUAACUGAGUCAGGUUUGUAGGCCUCCUUGCUCGCACACGCUUUUUCAGUUCUGCCCACAAAUUUUCUAUGGGAUUGAGGUCAGGGCUUUGUGAUGGCCACUCCAAUACCUUGACUUUGUUGUCCUUAAGCCAUUUUGCCACAACUUUGGAAGUAUGCUUGGGGUCAUUGUUCAUUUGGAAGACCUAUUUGCCACCAAGCUUUAACUUCCUGACUGAUGUCUUGAGAUGUUGCUUAAAUAUAUCAACAUAAUUUCCCUACCUCAUGAUGCCAUUUAUUUUGUGAAGUGCACCAGUCCCUCCUGCAGCAAAGCACCCCCACAACAUGAUGCUGCCACCCCCGUGCUUCACGGUUGGGAUGGUGUUCUUCGGCUUGCAAGCCUCCCCCUUUUUCCUCCAAACAUAACGAUGGUCAUUAUGGCCAACAGUUCUAUUUUUGUUUCAUCAGACCAGAGGACAUUUUUCCAAAAAGUAUGAUCUUUGUCCCCAUGUGCAGUUGCAAACCGUGGUCUGCCUUUCUUGGCAGUUUUGGAGCAGUGGGUUCUUCCUUGCUGAGCGGACUUUCAGGUUAUGCUGAUAUAGGACUCGUUUUACUGUGGAUAUAGAUACUUUUGUACCCGUUUCCUCCAGCAUCUUCACUAGGUUCUUUGCUGUUGUUCAGGGAUUGAUUUGCACUUUUCACAUCAAAGUAUAUUCAUCUCUAGGAGACAGAACGCGUCUCCUUCCUGAGCAGUAUGAUGGCUGUGUGGUCCCAUGGUGUUUAUACUUGCAUACUAUUGUUUCUACAGAUGAACGUGGUACCUUCAGGCAUUUGGAAAUUGCUCCCAAGGAUGAACCAGACUUGUGGAGACUAUAGUUUUUUUUCUGAGGUCUUGGCUGGUUUCUUUUGAUUUGCCCAUGAUGUCAAGCAAAGAGGCACUGAGUUGGAAGGGAUUCCAGACAAUCACGGAUUAUAAAAGGAAAAUCAGCCACGUCCUCAACAUGGGUGCGUGCUCAGCCCCCUCCUGUACUCCCUGUUCACCCAUGACUGCGUGGCCACACGUCUCCAACUCAAUCAUCUUGGACGCAACAGUGGUAGGCCUGAUUUACUAACAACGGCGAGACCUCCUACAGGGAGGAGCUGAGGGCCCUGGCAGAGUAGUGCCAGGAAAAUAACCCCUCAACGUCAACAAAAUAAAGGAGCUGAUCGUGGACAUAGACAGGGCGGGUGAAAAGCUUAAAGUUCCUUGCAGUCCACAUCACUAACAACCUUGAAAUGGUUCAGCCACACAGACAGUGUGGUGAAGAGCAUUCACUAAAAGGAGGCUGAAGAAAUCCGGUUUGGCUCCUAUGACCCGCAAACUUCGUCAGAUGCACCAUUGAGAGAAUCCUGUUGGGCUUUAUCACCGUCUGGUACGGCAACUGCUUCGUCUGCGUCUGCAGGGCUCUGCAGAGGGUGGUGUGGUCAGCUCAAUGCAUCACUGGGGGCACACUGCCUGCCCUACAGGACAUCUACAGCACUCUAUCACAUAGCCUGUUCAACCUGCAACCAUCUAGAAUGCGGAGACAGUAAAGGUGCAUCAAAGCUGGGACCGAGAGACGGCUAUUAGAUUGUUAAAUAAUCACCACUAGCCGGCCUCCACCCAGUACCCUGCCCUGAACUUUAGUCACUGUUGCUAGCUGGCUACCACCCGAUACUCAACCCUGCACCUUAGAGACUGCUGCCCUAUGUACAUAGUCAUUAAACACUGGUCACUUUAAUGUUUGCAUACUGUUUUACCCACUAUAUUUUUAUGGAUAUGCUGUUUUUAGGUAAUUCUCAAACCUCAGGAUCUAUCUGAACUACAGUCUGCUGAUCCUGCUCAGCAUGUCAACCGCUGUUUAAAAUCAAUUUUUAUGCCAUUUUUCUCAUAAAAAAGCGAUAAUAUUCCGACCGGGAAUCUGCGUUUAGAUAAACAGACAAAGGAAAAGAAAGCAUUCGGUCGAAGCGGGCACGCGCCUAAGCCCAUAGUACUCUGAGUGGCCACUUGCCAAAAGCGAUGUGUUUCAGCCAGAGCCUGCCUCGAUAUCGUUCAACUUUUUCCCGGGCUCUGAGACCCUAUGGAAGACGUAGGAAGUGUCACGUUAUUGCACAGAUCCUGAGUCUUCAAUAAAAAGAGCCAAGAUGAAACACUACUUCUCAGACAGGCCACUUCCUGCUUGAAAUCUUCUCAGGUUUUGGCCUGCCAUAGGAGUUCUGUUAUACUCACAGACACCAUUCAAACAGUUUUAGAAACUUUUUAGGGUGUUUUCUAUCCAAAGCCAAUAAUUAUAUGCAUAUUCUAGUUACUGGGCAGGAGUAGUAACCAGAUUAAACCGGGUACGUUUUUUAUCCAGCCGUGUCAAUACUGCCCCCUAGCCCUAACAGGUUAAUCUAACCACACUGUCCGAUUUUCAAAAAGGCUUUACAACGAAAGCAAAACAUUAGAUUGUCAGCAGAGUACCCAGCCAGAAAUAAUCAGACACCCAUUUUUCAAGCUAGCAUAUAAUGUCACAAAAAACAAAACUGCAGCACUAACCUUUUGAUGAUCUUCAUCAGAUGACACUCCUAGGACAUUAUGUUAUACAAUACAUGCAUGUUUUGUUCAAUCAAGUUCAUAUUUAUAUCAAAAACCAGCU
rnacentral:lncRNA from 1 species